GCGCUUGUAGCUCAAUUGGACAGAGCAUCUGACUACGGAUCAGAAGGUUCGGGGUUCGAAUCCCUGCAAGCGCG
rnacentral:tRNA from 2 species